rnacentral:lncRNA from 1 species
GGCCAGCUUGUAGCCUACAGACAAAGGCUCAGACAGGUCAGGGGAUUUCUCCACCACCGCCCCAUUAGGACUGGACCCCAAGUAUAUUACUCCAGGCUCCCUAUAAGCUGCUGCCUCCCACAUCUCACUCAGAUCACACCCUCCCAGGUGGAGGCACACAGCAGGUGCACAGCGGAGAGUCCAACACCGAUCCAAAGGCUGCUGCAACCUCCGGGAUCACCCUCUGUGUGGGGUCCUGCCUCGCUCGCCUCUCUUCUCUCAAAUGGGGUCCUCCUGCAGGUCACAGGCUGCCCUCCAGUCACGGCUGCGGGCACUGGCCAACAACAACACAGGGGCCCCGGGGGGCCCCCCGGGGGAGCGGUGGGAGCAGCCGUGAUGCGUGAGACCUCCGGCCCUGAAUCCACCAACAGCUGUGACCACUUCAGCUAUUUUAAACCCUUGGGCACCGGGAGGCUCCCCUCACACCAACCAGCCACUGCAGCCCAACACCCAUCGCAGGCCCUGAGCCAGGGGCAGGAACCCCGAAAGUGGGUCCACCGGGUCCAGGUUGGGCUUUUUUACGGAGAGGGACUUUCAUCUCUUGAGUGCUUGCUUGUGCCAGGCACUGUGUUUUCCACACAUGGUCUCAUUUAACACCAUCCUCACAUCUAUGCUGAGAGGUCAACCGUUCACAGAUGACAAAAAUGAGGCACCAAGUGGCAGGGCGAAUUGUCCAGGGCCCCACAGAGGCAGUCCCCACCAAGGAACUAGAAUUUGUGUUUCUUCAUCUACCAAUUAAGAGACAACGUUCCCAGGGCACCUGCAAAGCAUCUGCCUUCAGCUCAGGUUGUGAUCCCAGGGUCCUGGGAUCGAGUCCCACAUCGGGCUCCCCGCAGGGAGCCUGCUUCUCCCUCUGCCUGUCUCUGCCUCUCUUGUGUGUCUCUCAUGAAUGAAUGAAUAAAAUCUUAAAAAAAAAAAAAAAAGACCACGUUCCUUCUCUGCUCUUACCUGCUCUGCCCCUGCCCCAGCCCCCCUGCCCCCAGGGCCAUGCGAGCUCCUACCCCGGCCCUGCCACUCUUGGGAGCUGGGAGUCUGAGGGCAAACUCCUUAACCUUUGGGCAGCUCACUUCUUCAUCUGCAAAGCGGCGGGGUUAUCGGGAGGGUACAAUGAUCUAAUUCUAAUACAUGAAAAGCGCCGCUGGAACAGUGCCUGGCACACAGAAAGAACGCAUUAAGGGCCCGCUGUUACUCCUUCUCUCCUGGCAAUCACCACCGCUUGCUUGACGUUAUCACUGUUGUGACCUGCCAGGGCCUCAGUAGGGGUUCUGAGUCCCUUCCCAACCCCCCCACUCUGGGCCCUCGUUGCCCCGUGGGUGAGAUGAGGGUGUCAUGCUCUGUGAUCCCCGGGAAGGUGGGAACCCUGGCAUCUGCCAAGUAUCUGCCAUGAAGUAGGGACUCAAAUGUAAUUCCAGUAGAGGGAUGCCCAGACAAGAGCCCACCUGGGGGGGACCCUCAGAGCCAGCUCCAGGGUGCACACGUUUUUGCCUCUUUGGCAGGUAACUAUGCUCGAGCUGCCUCCUGAUGGAUGGUGCACUCACUUGGCACUGCCAGGAGCCCUUCAAAAUUUACCAGCGUCUCCCUGGGUCUGUGAGCCUUUGUGGGCGGGUGCCCCGCCCCCAGCCCAACUCAGACCUUCCCCUUUGUCUACCCACAUUCCUCCCAGAUCCUGGCACCCACCAGCAGCUGGGCUCAUCACCACCUCCUAAUUUGGGCCUCCUCAAAAGGCCACUGGGGUCAGAGGCUGGGUGUGUCUCAGCCCCGGGGAACUUGUGAGCCUCCACCCUGCACCGCCCCCCAGGGCUCCUAUUCCCCCAGCAAGCUUACCCCCUUCUGAAACAUGCACCCCCCUCCAGCCUGCCCCCACCCCGUCCUUCUUGUAACCUGUCCCCUUACCCAUCCCAGUCCACCGUCCACCCCCCGGCUCCUGUCCCCUCUACAGAGGACCACUUACUCACACCUGGUUGAAUUAUCUAACU